CCAAUAGCGUAUAUUAAAGUUGUUGCAGUUAAAAAGCUCGUGGUUGAAUUUCGGAAUCUGUCCAUCGGUCGAGCUUCACUGUUCGUACUGGUGUGGUGGGUUCUUACCUUCUGAAUAACCAGCAUGCCAUUCACUUGGUGCGUUGGGGAAGCAGGACUAUUACCUUGAAAAAAUUAGAGUGCUCAAAGCAGGCCAGCGCCUGAAUACAUUAGCAUGGAAUAAUAAAAUAGGACGGCUUGGUUCUAUUUUGUUGGUUUCUAGGAUCACCGUAAUGAUUAAUAGGGAUAGUUGGGAGCAUUAGUAUUCAAUUGUCAGAGGUGAAAUUCUUGGAUUUAUUGAAGACUAACUUCUGCGAAAGCAUUUGCCAAGGAUGUUUUCAUUAAUCAAGAACGAAAGUUAGGGGAUCGAAGACGAUCAGAUACCGUCGUAGUCUUAACCAUAAACUAUGCCGACUAGGGAUCGGACGAUGUUAAUUUUUUAAUGACUCGUUCGGCGCCUUACG
rnacentral:rRNA from 1 species